CCCCGUGUGUUCUCCCCCCGCUGGCAUCUCCUUUCUUCUGUAUUUCUUUUUAUCCGCGGCGUGUUAGAUCCAGCAGCAAAUCAUGGCGGAUAGGCUUUGGCCUCUUCCUCUGGCUGCCAUCCUCCUCCUCCUCCUCCUCUCUCUCUCUCUCUCUCUCUCUCUCUCUCUCUCUCUUGCAGGUGCUGAAGAGAAUUCAGCAAGUUAGAACCAACGUGCCAUCGUUCCAGAACACAAGCAGUACACAUGGCCAAAGGACAGGCAAUAUCAUGCUCUGUCAUGCCUCCAAAAAAAGUAAGAUCCUUCUGAUGAAUUUGGUUAUGGCUACGUAUUGCUCUCCUGCCCUAGCUCACUUGAUAUGAUCCAGGUGGCAAAACCUGAAGUUUGGGCAAAGUUCAGACUAAUGUUUGGUUUCUAGGUUCCCCGCUUUCUUCGGAAUCUCUUUUGUGUUGUCUCUAAGGUUAUAGUUUAAUUAUAUAGUACCAUGACACCGGGUAAUUGUUACAAGAUGAUGCAAUUGAUUACUUAAAGACAUGCUAUCAGACCUGCGUGUUGCAGAUCACUGUGUUCAGCCUCGCAGUGAUUGCUUUCAUGCCGACUCAGCUGUGAAGAAAGAAGAUUUGAACAUGCAUGAUAAAGGAUGUUGGAAUUAGGUUCCAAGGAUAAUAUCAAUUGAUUUUAUUUUCAACAAGGUUCUAAUUUUAAACAGGUAUGCAGAUUUUUUUUACCUUAUCCAAACAAGCAACCAGAUCACGAAAUUGACGAGAUUCUACUUAACCUUUUCUGAAUGCCUGAUACUGAAUCGGAACAAAACUAUGGCAACCCUGCCAUGCAAAAUAGGCCCAUGCAUGAAUCAUAUAUCUCAUGAGGUGACAGUCGUUCCCAAGUUUACAUUGCCUAAUACAUUGGAGGUUAGAGUUGUCUAUAUUCUCUGGAGUUGUUUUUCUAAUUGUUAGGGUACUGAAUUUUGCAUUGUUAAUAAGUAACAACUGUACGUGACAUCAGCCCGUGCACUCUAACUAAGUCAA